CCUACGGGUGGCAGCAGUAGGGAAUUUUCCACAAUGGGCGAAAGCCUGAUGGAGCAACGCCGCGUGGGUGAAGAAGGUCUUCGGAUCGUAAAACCCUGUUGUUAGAGAAGAAAGUGCGUGAGAGUAACUGUUCACGUUUCGACGGUAUCUAACCAGAAAGCCCCGGCUAACUACGUGCCAGCAGCCGCGGUAAGACGUCGGGGGCAAGCGUUAUCCGGAUUUAAUGGGCGUAAAGGGAACGCAGGCGGUCUGUUAAGGCAGAUGUGAAAGCCUACGGCUUAACCGGAGUAGUGCAUUGGAAACUGGGAGACUUGAGUGCAGAAGAGGAGGGUGGAACUCGAGGUGUAGCGGUGAAAUGCGUAGAGAUAAGGAAGAACACCAGUUGCGAAGGCGGCUCUCUGGUCUGUAACUGACGCUGAGGUGCGAAAGCGUGGGUAGCAAACAGGAUUAGAUACCCUUGUAGUC
rnacentral:rRNA from 1 species